UGUAUGGUCUUUUAGCAUGGCGGUAGCAGCAGGAGUGAGGACAGCUGUGCAGAUGUCAUUCAAGAAGCCUUUUGAUCCUGGCUGACACUAAAGCUGGUGUCUGCUGGUGUGACCAGACAUCAAAGAAUGCUACUAGAGGUAUGGGAGCCCUUGUUUCUGAAGAGGCCGGAGGGCAUCGCAUGUCUGGCAAGGACAGCUGUGCAGGUGUCAUUCAAGAAGCCUUUUGAUCCUGGCUGACACUAAAGCUGGUGUCUGCUGGUGUGACCAGACAUCAAAGAAUGCUACUAGAGGUAUGGGAGCCCUUGUUUUGGAAGAGGCCAGAGGGCAUCGCAUGACUGGCAAGGACAGCUGUGCAGAUGUCAUUCAAGAAGCAUUUUGAUCCUGGCUGACACUAAAGCUGGUGUCUGCUGGUGUGACCAGACAUCAAAGAAUGCUACUAGAGGUAUGGGGGCCCUUGUUUCUGAAGAGGCCGGAGGGCAUCGCAUGACUGGCAAGGACAGCUGUGCAGAUGUCAUUCAAGAAGCCUUUUGAUCCUGGCUGACACUAAAGCUGGUGUCUGCUGGUGUGACCAGACAUCAAAGAAUGAUACUAGAGGUAUGGGGGCCCUUGUUUUGGAAGAGGCCAGAGGGCAUCGCAUGACUGGCAAGGUUUGAGUCGGUUCUGUACUCGUUGCCGUAUCCCUUUCAAGUCUUUGCUGCAUGUGAAGGACAAAGUAUGGCACUGAUCAGAUGGGAGCGUUCCAGCUCGACUGAAUGUUUACUCAUCAUGAAGUUGGAUCCUUGACUUGAUUCCUCUAAUAGAUUAUCAAACCACAAAGAUUUGUGCAGACUGCAACCAGUCACAAUGUAACUUGUACAUGGAAUUGCAUUAAAAUUUCUUAACUAG